GAGAUGAAGUCUUUCUGGCUCCUAUUUCUCCUCUUCCAUUGCUGAGGGGUGAGAAAAGGCUUUUAUGCUUGGAAAUCCAGUGUGUGAAAGAAAUGGAAGCAGUGCAACACAUUAGAUUUUUCAAUGCUACGACAGGAGAUAGUCCUCUGGCACUUGGAAAGUAAAUGUGAAAGGUCAAGAGGAGAAGAAAAGCUUUGAGAAACUGUGUGGCUGAGCCCCAAAGAAUUUGAUGCUUUCGAACUGUGGUGCUGGACAAGACUCUCGAGAGUCCCUGGGACAGCAAGGAGUCCAAACCAGUCAGUCCUAAAGGAAAUCAGCCCUGGAUAUUCAUUGGAAGGAUUGAUGCUGAAGGUGAAGCUCCAAUACCUUGGCUACCUGAUUCAAAGAGCCAACUCAUUGGAAAAGACCCUGAUGCUGGGAAAGACUGAAGGCAAAAGGAGAAGAAGGUGGUAGAGGAUGAGAUGGUUGGAUGGCACUAUCGAUUCAGUGCAUAUGAGUUUGAGCAAAGUCGGGGAGAUAGUGAAGGAGAGGAAAGCCUGGUGUGCUGUAGUCCAUGGGGUUGCAAAGAGUCAGACACGACUGAACAACUGAACAUCAACAACAAAAAAUUUAUAAUCAAAGACCUUAACUGAUACAUGAUUGGACAUUGUUUUGCAAUGUCAACAAGCCUCAAAUUCUUGCUGAAUGCAUGUGUUAAACUCUGCAUUUAGAUCUGGCUCUUGGAAUUCUAGUGUCCUAGAACUCAAAAGCCAAAGAAGUCCUCAGUGAUAAGCUUAUUCAAACUUUUUUUGUUAAGAGAUGAAUUUGAAGUAUAGAGAGCAGGAGAGCAGCUUAACAGACACAUUCCUUUAUUGCUAACAUUAUAAGGAUUCUUCCUGAAAUAUUUUAUCUCUAUAACAACACAGUCCUAAUUUUAAUGACAUAGAAGUAUCCUUGGAAGAAAAAGGUAGAUAAACAACACUUUAACAAAAUUUAAAGUAACAUAGGCUUUGGUUUGUUCUUGUCAUUAGCUAAAUAAUUUUAUUAUAGGAUUUGUAGCCAGACUUAUGAAAAUCUAUAAACAUCUUACAGAAGUUUCUUUGAUAAAGAAAACCAUGCUCAGUAGAAAGCUUUUGGGGUUUUUAAUCCUCAGUGGAAAGGCUUUUGGGGUUUUUAAUGCAGCCAUUGAUCUCCUAUUCUUAAAUUUGAAAACUACAAG